UCAGAGAGCGGAAGUUCGCGAUCUCGGCCGGUGAUCAGUUGCAUGGUCCAAUGGUGCAGUUCGGCAGUCACCGCAUUUGGACAGGAAUAUUUUAGAGUGGUGGCCUGACUUUUCAGCUCCAUCACUAUCAAGCUUUCCUCUUGACUCAGGGUAAAGUGCUUCGGAAGCAGGGGCCCUUGGUACCACCAGCUACGGGGGAAGUCCUCGAAACAGCUCGGAUCUUUGCUCCUCAGAAUGAAGAAACGGUUCUUCCAAUUCUUAAGGGAU
rnacentral:misc_RNA from 1 species